rnacentral:lncRNA from 1 species
AUCAAUAACAUAAAACUAACUGCUAUUACAAGCAUUCAUUUCAUACAACAUUUUUCUUUUACAUUUGCUUAACUUUCAAAUACAAUCACAUUAUUACAUUUAAUACAAGUUGGUUGUUGUCAUUCCAAUCUAACCCCUAGGUCCUACUGACUAGGGGUACUGCUAUCUCGGUCUCUGGGGUAGGGCGCUAUCUACGAAGCUACGCCCCCGCCUCGCGC